UACGGGGGGGGCAAGCGUUGUUCGGAAUUACUGGGCGUAAAGGGCUCGUAGGCGGCCAACUAAGUCAUACGUGAAAUCCCUCGGCUUAACCUGGGAACUGCGUGUGAUACUGGAUGGCUUGAAUCCGGGAGAGGGAUGCGGAAUUCCAGGUGUAGCGGUGAAAUGCGUAGAUAUCUGGAGGAACACCGGUGGCGAAGGCGGCAUCCUGGACCGGUAUUGACGCUGAUGAGCGAAAGCCAGGGGAGCAAACGGG
rnacentral:rRNA from 1 species